CAGCAGCCGCGGGAAUACGUGGGUGGCAAGCGUUGUCCGGAAUUAUUGGGCGUAAAGGGCUCGCAGGCGGUUUUUUAAGUCUGAUGUGAAAGCCCCCGGCUCAGCCGGGGAGGGUCAUUGGAAACUGGGAAACUUGAGUGCAGAUGAGGAGAGCGGAAUUCCACGUGUAGCGGUGAAAUGCGUAGAGAUGUGGAGGAACACCAGUGGCGAAGGCGACUCUCUGGUCUGUAACUGACGCUGAGGAGCGAAAGCGUGGGGAGCGAACAGGAUUAGAUACCCCUGUAGUCCCUGUCUCUUAUAC
rnacentral:rRNA from 1 species